rnacentral:rRNA from 1 species
AGGACGAACGCUGGCGGCGUGCUUAACACAUGCAAGUCGAGCGGAAAGGCCCUUCGGGGUACUCGAGCGGCGAACGGGUGAGUAACACGUGAGCAAUCUGCCCUUAGCUUCGGGAUAGCUCCGGGAAACCGGAAUUAAUACCGAAUAUGACUACGGUUGACAUCAGCCAUGGUGGAAAGUUUUUCGGCUAGGGAUGAGCUCGCGGCCUAUCAGCUUGUUGGUGGGGUAACGGCCUACCAAGGCGACGACGGGUA